AUACGUAGGUGGCAAGCGUUAUCCGGAAUUGUUGGGCGUAAAGAGGGAGCAGGCGGCAGCAAGGGUCUGUGGUGAAAGCCUGAAGCUUAACUUCAGUAAGCCAUAGAAACCAGGCAGCUAGAGUGCAGGAGAGGAUCGUGGAAUUCCAUGUGUAGCGGUGAAAUGCGUAGAUAUAUGGAGGAACACCAGUGGCGAAGGCGACGAUCUGGCCUGCAACUGACGCUCAGUCCCGAAAGCGUGGGGAGCAAAUAGGAUUAGAUACCCUAGUAGUCCACGCCGUAAACGAUGAGUACUAAGUGUUGGAUGUCAAAGUUCAGUGCUGCAGUUAACGCAAUAAGUACUCCGCCUGAGUAGUACGUUCGCAAGAAUGAAACUCAAAUGAAUUGACGGGG
rnacentral:rRNA from 1 species